CAUAUACUACCUCCGUCCAAAAAUACUUGUCAUCAAAAUGGACAAAAGGAGAUGUAUCUAGAACAAAAAUACAUCUAGAUACAUCCUCUUUUAUUCAUUUUGAUGACAAGUAUUUCCGGACGGAGGGAGUUCUCC
rfam:Triticum aestivum genome assembly, contig: Triticum_aestivum_CS42_TGACv1_scaffold_577385_7BL